rnacentral:rRNA from 1 species
GACGAACGCUGGCGGCGUGCUUAACACAUGCAAGUCGAACGGAAAGGCCCUGCUUUUGUGGGGUGCUCGAGUGGCGAACGGGUGAGUAACACGUGAGUAACCUGCCCUUGACUUUGGGAUAACUUCAGGAAACUGGGGCUAAUACCGGAUAGGAGCUCCUGCUGCAUGGUGGGGGUUGGAAAGUUUCGGCGGUUGGGGAUGGACUCGCGGCUUAUCAGCUUGUUGGUGGGGUAGUGGCUUACCAAGGCUUUGACGGGUAGCCGGCCUGAGCGGGUGACCGGCCAAAUUGGGACUGAGAUACGGCCCAGCCUCCUACGGGAGGCAGCAGUGGGGAAUAUUGCACAAUGGGCGGAAGCCUGAUGCAGCAACGCCGCGUGCGGGAUGACGGCCUUCGGGUUGUAAACCGCUUUCGCCUGUGACGAAGCGUGAGUGACGGUAAUGGGUAAAGAAGCACCGGCUAACUACGUG